rnacentral:lncRNA from 1 species
UGUGGUGGCUCAGAAAGGACGGCAAGAAGCAGACAACAAGCAGUGCACGCGCCGAGGCGAAUUCCGUGCUGGAUGGAAAACGAAAACGUCGAAGAGCGUACGGCACGCGAGCACG